UGAGGUGCGUGUUACGCUGACCUCCAGAGCCUCUUAUUCGCCUUCCUUGUUUUCUCUGAGCAAACACUUGGAGGUACUUAGUCUGGCUAUGUGACCUGAGGACACCUUUUUUUUUCUGGACAACUGUAAUCUCUUUGGUCCAGGUGUUGCAGGAUUUUUCUCCAUCGGUGCCCACAGUUCUUGGUUACACCACUUUGAAGAAUGAAGAGGUAGACCAGACAGACAGUGUGGUGGGCAGCAAAGAAGGUUUAUUGAGUGAGAGCAAAGUGAUAGUACAAAGCUCCCAAGGAGGGAGGGGGCCUGAAGGGGUUGCCCUGUAGUCUGUUGUUUAAAAAAAGGUGUUUACUCUAUAUUUCUCCAUGUAUGUGUGUGUGUGUGAAUAAAAUAAAAGCAUCUACAGAUUUUCAGUAUGCUCAGUGAGAUCAGCAGAAUUUCACUUACCAAAAUGUCUACCCAACAUGCUUCUUAGAUUUUCCUAGUAUCUAGGAUUUAGACCUACCUUUCAAAACUGUUAGCCUUUUUCAUGUUUCUUCUUUUUUCAAUAGGUAUAUUUGAACUUUGUUUCAAAGAUAGCUUCAUCUAUCUUUAACAAACAUUAGUUCACAUUUGACUCCACCUCUUUUUCAACUGAUCUCUUCAUGUUUGAAUCAUUCUAUUUUGAUUGGUUGCUUGUUCUGCUGUUGAGGAAUUAUUUUGUUUGCUUGUGAACAAUUCCAUGGUUUGUAAAAGUUGUCUCUAAAAUCAUCAAGUAUUAAAUAUCAAGUGCAGGUCUGAUGUUGUUCCAGGGCUGAGGGACAUUAAAAUGACAGUUUUUAAAUUAAGAAAUAAGUCUUACUUGGUCUCCAAACUAAAGAAAUCACCACUUUCCUUAUUUGGGAGGUAAGAUUUAAAUAUAUGCAAUAACAACAAUAAUUUGGUGCUGAAAUCAAUGCCCAAAACAAUAAUCUUCCCAGGGUUUCAAGAUGGAGAGAUCUCUCUGAGAGAGGGUGGCAGGAAAGAAGUCCUCAGUUGAGUGAGAUGGACCUGAAUGACUUGUUCAGCUUGUUUCUGCCCCUCCUUAUGAAACAGCAUACCUUCUGAAGGAGUUCUAAAAACAUCUCAGAGGAAAGAGGACCAAACUCACCAAAGGCUAAGUAGAAAGCACUGGAAGCAUUUGCCCUCUAAGAAAAAUGAUUUGCAUAAUUAGAAACCCACUGGAGGAGCCAUUCAGCUGCCCUAGGGGCUAAGGGUCGAAGGAAGGCUAUAAAUGAAACUUGGCAAAUAUCAGCAGACCCUGAGAAUGUACCACGUACAUGUCACUCUACAAAGUGCUUUCUAUGCAUCAAAGAUCUCCGAUUUUCACCAACAUCUAGAAGACUGCCACAUACAGGGCCUCAUUUGGAUGUGUCUGGAGUCUUGGAAGAUUGACUACCCUACGUUCUCCUACAAAUGGACCUUGAGAGCUUGUUUGGAGGUUCCAAGAGGGAGCACAACUACUCCUAUACCCUUGACCAGAGAAUGGUCCUCCUCUAUCCACGAAUCAUUCUCCUUCAUGGAGCACAACAGCUUCCAGGAGGGAUGCACAUGGAACAGUGAGGGAGGAAGGGGACACCUGCCAACCCAGCCAGAUCAGCCAGAUCAACCCUGGUGAUCAGUGCAAGUGACAGAUGUCACAAUUCGAUCACCCUCACAUCCUAUAGCUGACACUUCUUGAAGUCUUUAAUCAUAUAAUUUACAGAAGUGUGUCUGGUGACAUCUUCUCUCCAAAUGUAGCUUCCAUUUGUUCAAUUAUGCUAGUGUGGGGAACAGUUAUUGAUAAUAUCUGACAAUAUCAGAAGGCCCUAAAGCAGAACAUGUCAAAAACCAAGUCCCAUGGAUCCUUUUGGUACAAUUUCAAAUGAUGAGAAGUUAUGAGAAUCUUUAGGUAGGGACACAUUAUCAUGAUUAUUAGGAUAAGGAGUAAAAUACGGACACUGUAAAUUUAAGUUAUUUUGGGCAAAUUUUAAAGUGUCUUGUAUUAUCCUCUUAACAGGUAGCAGAUACAGACUGACAUGAUCUGUCCAAUAAGAAUACUUUUGUACAGAUUUUUGAAAGUAUUUUACCUAUGAUCUCAGUUCUAUCAUUUACAAGUAGUAAAGGUAUUACCAGGUGGGGGAAAAAAAAAAACCUGUUUUAACAAUAACAUGAAAUUGAUUUGUUCACAUGGUUCUUGAGGUAUGGUUUGAAGCCCUGCCUCAGCUUUAUAGUUUUGAAAUUUACAUUAAUUACAGAUAACACAAGGGUCAAUCACUUGUCCAGUCUUUGGGCUAAUCAACGUAUUUGUAAAAUUUGAACUGGUUGGUGUUAAUCACUGGAGUUAUUUUUAUUUACAUGAUUAUAAAGUCUGGAGAUGGCUGAGCCACAGAAGCGGUAUGAGAGAUUUGUGGUAGUCAAUUUUUAUCGAAGGGCUGGUUAUACUUGAUUUUAUUUUUAGAAAUCAGACUAGACAAUUGGUAUAGUGCUGAUGGUGAGGAAUCCUUGAAAGGCUCUUUUUUGCACUGCAGUUUGGGUAUUUUCUUUAGCAUUAGGUUUAAUUUUAACUACUCAGUUUUACUUUGGUUGCUCCUUUUCCUGAGUACUUAACCCAUCCCCAGCUCCCGCCCCAAUAUUGACUGAGCCGUCUGCACAAGUUAGAAAUUCCGUUUGUUUUCAUACAAGUGAAAGCAAAUGAACAACCGCCAGAUAUAUCUAUUUUAAGUAAAUAUGUCAACUCUUGAGCCGUGAGUGAAGUGCCAUUCUCAGAUCUGACCUGUAGACUGAGUUAUUGGUUAUAGAGAAUAAAGUGAAAACAUAACGGUAAAA